rnacentral:tRNA from 1 species
GCAUCGGUAGUGUAAUGGUAACACAGCAGUCUCCAAAACUGCACGAUUAAGGUUCGAGUCCUUACUGAUGUG